UACACUUAGGUUGGAGUCAUUAAAACUAGUUUACAUACACUCAGGUUGGAGUCAUUAAAACUAGUUUACAUACACUCAGGUUGGAGUCAUUAAAACUAGUUUACAUACACUCAGGUUGGAGUCAUUAAAACUAGUUUACAUACACUUAGGUUGGAGUCAUUAAAACUAGUUUACAUACACUUAGGUUGGAGUCAUUAAAACUAGUUUACAUACACUUAGGUUGGAGUCAUUAAAACUAGUUUACAUACACUCAGGUUGGAGUCAUUAAAACUAGUUUACAUACACUCAGGUUGGAGUCAUUAAAACUAGUUUACAUACACUCAGGUUGGAGUCAUUAAAACUAGUUUACAUACACUUAGGUUGGAGUCAUUAAAACUAGUUUACAUACACUUAGGUUGGAGUCAUUAACACUAGUUUACAUACACUUAGGUUGGAGUCAUUAAAACUAGUUUACAUACACUUAGGUUGGAGUCAUUAAAACUAGUUUACAUACACUUAGGUUGGAGUCAUUAAAACUAGUUUACAUACACUCAGGUUGGAGUCAUUAAAACUAGUUUACAUACACUCAGGUUGGAGUCAUUAAAACUAGUUUACAUACACUCAGGUUGGAGUCAUUAAAACUAGUUUACAUACACUUAGGUUGGAGUCAUUAAAACUAGUUUACAUACACUUAGGUUGGAGUCAUUAAAACUAGUUUACAUACACUUAGGUUGGAGUCAUUAAAACUAGUUUACAUACACUCAGGUUGGAGUCAUUAAAACUAGUUUACAUACACUCAGGUUGGAGUCAUUAAAACUAGUUUACAUACACUCAGGUUGGAGUCAUUAAAACUAGUUUACAUACACUUAGGUUGGAGUCAUUAAAACUAGUUUACAUACACUUAGGUUGGAGUCAUUAACACUAGUUUAC